AGCGAGCACCUUUCAGCAAAAGUGACGACGUCUCUGGUGCACCUCACACAGCAGCAUGGGGCUGUGACCUGGUACAAAAGAAGCAGGCCUGGCCCACACGUCCGGGGGGACCCAAUGGUGGUCCAGCUGAAGCUGUAACGUACGUCACUGAGGCUAGAGGUGCGGGGGAGCUCUGGAGCACUUACAGAGUUAAAUGAAAGUUCUGAAGGCAGAAGACGUGGGAGGAGUGCACUGAGGCAGGAUGGACAGAACAGUACCAUAGCCCGUGGGUUAGAAGCUCAAGCUUUAGAUAACAGUUUGUUCUUCAUUGGAAAUUCUAAAUGUAAAGUCUGGUAAGGACAAGGGAUGCACCAUGGUGGAACACGGAUCCCUAUGUGCUAAACUCCCACCCAAGGGGACAGGCAGUGUGCAGACUCCAACCCUUGUCCUGCUGCUGGUUGGCUCCCCAGGAACAGCCCCUGUGCCACCCUGGGUUCAGCACCAGUGCGUACGUCUUUGCUGGAGACCAGACCCUGCACGUGAAUGGGUUCAAAGCCAACUGGUAGCAGGGCUGCAGAACAGCUGGGCCCUGGGAUUUGGACACGUCUGGCCCUAUCAGGUGCCACCGGCAGCACAGGGACAUCAGCCCCAAUACUGACCACGGGUUCCUUAAGAUCUGCUGCAAAUGAGGGGAGAAAAGGAAAGAUGCAAACAACCACGGAAUAUGGAAUUUACAUGCCAACAUAAAAGCCUCGCACUCCCAAGCCUCUCCUGUGCUUCCCAGUAGCCAAAAAGAAAAAGGAAGAGUGCAAACAGUUAAAGACCUGGUGCUUCAUAACACGCCGGGGGGACAGUUCCUACUCUUACCUAUUUGAACCACAGCUGUCUAAACUCACUGCUCGUCCACUUGGUGUGUUCACAUGGAAGCAACUGACAGUGCCCACCGGGAGGACGUGAGCCCAUCUCCGUGCCGGUUGGUUACACUACGUCCCGGGGCUACCGAGUAUCACCCUGUGCAGCGACAGUUUCACCCAUUAGUAUGGAGCCAGCUAUACACACUGCAUAUGUACAGGUAUUUUCAUAAGGCAUAUAAUAUCUUUGCAUUGAAAAUAAAUGAACGUUAUUAAAUUUAAU
rnacentral:lncRNA from 7 species